rnacentral:rRNA from 1 species
GACGAACGCUGGCGGCGUGCCUAAUACAUGCAAGUCGAACGCAUUUUCUUUCACCGUAGUUUGCUACACCGAAAGAAAAUGAGUGGCGAACGGGUGAGUAACACGUGGGUAACAUGCCCAUCAGCGGGGGAUAACACUUGGAAACAGGUGCUAAUACCGCAUAAUUCCAUUUACCGCAUGGUAGAUGGAUGAAAGGCGCUUUUGCGUCACUGAUGGAUGGACCCGCGGUGCAUUAGCUAGUUGGUGGGGUAACGGCCUACCAAGGCUGCGAUGCAUAGCCGGCCUGGGGGGGGGAUCGGCCACACUGGGACUGAGACACGGCCCAGACUCCUACGGGAGGCAGCAGUAGGGAAACUUCGGCAAUGGACGCAAAGCUGACCGGGCAACGCCGCGGGAGGGAAGGAGGGUUUCGGAUCGUAAAACUCUGUUGUUAGGGAAGAACAAGGAGGGGAGUGGAAAGUUCAUCCCUUGACGGUAUCUAACCAGAAAGCCAUGGCUAACUACGUG